GAAGCGGUCCAAUGGUAAAGAUGGGAUCACUCACCCUGUCCACAAAGCCCCAGCGAGGAAACCCCACACCCACAACGCAGAUCUCACAGGCACAAUAUUACAAAGCACUUCCAGACUGCUAGAGAUAGGCACACACACACACUUCCUUCCUCCCCCAGUAACUUGUAAGCAGCAUUUACAUGCUAGGGACCCGUUAUGCACUCAGUUAUGAGACUCCAAUUCUUCGUCUCAACUCCCUUUCUCUGGUUCUUACACACUGACUUGGGGCUAUCACAGGUGGACUUGCUAACUUAGGAAACGACCCUUCACGCCAAAACUCUCCUGCGACUGAUAGAAAAUCUUCAACAUCCAUCUUGUGCUUGAUAAGGGAUGUUACUUACAGAUAAGACUAGGAUUGGUCCAGCUCCAGUUCACAUCCUUUGACCCCCCUGCCCCCACCCCAAUUCAGUUUCUACUGUCAGGCUAAAAGGUGCUUCUGCGGUGCCCCCACAGUGCCCCUACAGUCACGCAAUGCCACGGCGUGACUAAGAAAUGUCAGUCCCAGGGAAGCCUGAUCUUCACGCACGUCCACCAAUCCCCACUUGGCCCCCUGAAAGAUCCCACAAACCACAGCUGCCAGCAGUCCAGACACCCCAGCACCAACUGCACCUCCACACGCCUCAGGCACCUGACAGAGCUCAGGUACCUUCCUCAUCUUCCCCGAGACUCUGAGGACUCAAGGACAGAGGGACACAAUGGAAUUCCAUCUUGACCGGCCUUCAUGCAUGUAUAUGCUCCCAACUCAAUGCCCAGGCCACCCUGCCGCAGUGCUAUGAUCCCCAGGAAGAGCAGUCUCCUGUCAGCCCCUCCCAGAGCUGGAAUGACGUUCAAAUACAAAACUUUCCAGACACAAAGAAUUUUCAAGGAAGGGUGAGCGCCCUCCUACCCCACCCCCCACCUCGACAGCUGCACACGGAACAUAACCCCAUCACUCAGUCCCACCUGAAGAGCAAUGGACCCCUGAUGGAGGGUCGACAGACACCCCAAGGAGCCUCCUUUGAAACAGAGUUGUCCCCAGCAUCCUUGGCUGCAAGUUCCAUCCUGUCAUGGGGCUUUCACUACCACUCCCUCUGCUGAAAAUGACUGGGUUCCAGAACUUCGCAAAGCUUCUGACUUCCUGUCCACCCAUCACAUACAAGCAUUAA